AUUGAACGCUGGCGGCAUGCUUUACACAUGCAAGUCGAACGGUAACAGGGUGCUUGCACCGCUGACGAGUGGCGAACGGGUGAGUAAUGCAUCGGAACGUACCGUGUAGUGGGGGAUAACGUAGCGAAAGUUACGCUAAUACCGCAUACGCCCUGAGGGGGAAAGCGGGGGAUCUUCGGACCUCGCGCUAUAUGAGCGGCCGAUGUCGGAUUAGCUAGUUGGUGGGGUAAAGGCCUACCAAGGCAACGAUCCGUAGCGGGCCCGAGAGGAUGAUCCGCCACACUGGGACGGAGACACGGCCCAGACUACUACGGGAGGCAGCAGUGGGGAAUUUUGGACAAUGGGCGAAAGCCUGAUCCAGCCAUGCCGCGUGAGUGAAGAAGGCCUUCGGGUUGUAAAGCUCUUUCAGCUGGAAAGAAAACGCUCGGGAUAAUACCCCGGGCGGAUGACGGUACCAGCGGAAGAAGCACCGGCUAACUACGUGCCAGCCGCCGCGGUAA
rnacentral:rRNA from 1 species